UAAAAAAAAAAAAAAAACUAGAAAAAAAAAAGGAGAGAAAGCACGGGGGGAGGGGAGGGUGUAGGUUUUUUUGGAUCUCUCUCUCUUAUUUUUAGCUUUUUUUUUUUGCCAAAUUUGUUUUUUUUCCUUU
rnacentral:ribozyme from 15 species